GCAGACGGGUGAGUAACGCGUGGGAAUCUACCUUUUGCUACGGAAUAACGCAGGGAAACUUGUGCUAAUACCGUAUGUGUCCUUCGGGAGAAAGAUUUAUCGGCAAGAGAUGAGCCCGCGUUGGAUUAGCUAGUUGGUGGGGUAAAGGCCUACCAAGGCGACGAUCCAUAGCUGGUCUGAGAGGAUGAUCAGCCACAUUGGGACUGAGACACGGCCCAAACUCCUACGGGAGGCAGCAGUGGGGAAUAUUGGACAAUGGGCGCAAGCCUGAUCCAGCCAUGCCGCGUGAGUGAUGAAGGCCCUAGGGUUGUAAAGCUCUUUCACCGGAGAAGAUAAUGACGGUAUCCGGAGAAGAAGCCCCGGCUAACUUCGUGCCAGCAGCCGCGGUAAUACGAAGGGGGCUAGCGUUGUUCGGAAUUACUGGGCGUAAAGCGCACGUAGGCGGAUCGAUCAGUCAGGGGUGAAAUCCCAGGGCUCAACCCUGGAACUGCCUUUGAUACUGUCGAUCUGGAGUAUGGAAGAGGUGAGUGGAAUUCCGAGUGUAGAGGUGAAAUUCGUAGAUAUUCGGAGGAACACCAGUGGCGAAGGCGGCUCACUGGUCCAUUACUGACGCUGAG
rnacentral:rRNA from 1 species